rnacentral:rRNA from 1 species
UGGGGAAUAUUGGACAAUGGGCGGAAGCCUGAUCCAGCAACGCCGCGUGAGGGAUGACGGCCUUCGGGUUGUAAACCUCUUUCAGUACCGACGAAGCGAAAGUGACGGUAGGUACAGAAGAAGGACCGGCCAACUACGUGCCAGCAGCCGCGGUAAUACGUAGGGUCCGAGCGUUGUCCGGAAUUAUUGGGCGUAAAGGGCUCGUAGGCGGUUUGUCGCGUCGGGAGUGAAAACAGCGGGCUUAACUCGUUGCUUGCUUUCGAUACGGGGCAGACUAGAGGGUAUGCAGGGGAGAAUGGAAUUCCUGGUGUAGCGGUGAAAUGCGCAGAUAUCAGGAGGAACACCGGUGGCGAAGGCGGUUCUCUGGGCAUUACCUGACGCUGAGGAGCGAAAGUGUGGGGAGCGAACAGGAUUAGAU